rnacentral:sRNA from 1 species
GGGCCCGCGGAGGAAAGAUAUUGGGGAGUGGGAGCCGCGGGGUUCGGAGCGAUGAUUCCCCCACAGGAGGCAUCCGCCCGACGGCGGGAGAUCGAGGACAAGCUGAAGCAGGAGGAGGAGACUCUGUCCUUCAUCCGAGACAGCCUGGAGAAGAGCGACCAGCUCACUAAGAACAUGGUGUCUAUCUUAUCAUCCUUUGAGAGCCGCCUUAUGAAGCUGGAGAACUCCAUCAUCCCUGUGCACAAGCAGACAGAGAAUCUGCAGCGGCUGCAGGAGAAUGUUGAGAAGACGCUGUCCUGCCUGGACCAUGUCAUCAGCUACUACCAUGUGGCCAGUGACACUGAGAAGAUCAUCAGAGAGGGCCCCACAGGUAGGCUGGAAGAGUACCUGGGAAGCAUGGCCAAGAUUCAGAAGGCAGUGGAGUAUUUCCAGGACAACAGCCCAGACAGCCCAGAACUCAACAAAGUGAAACUGCUCUUUGAGCGUGGGAAGGAGGCCCUGGAGUCCGAAUUCCGCAGCCUGAUGACGCGGCACAGUAAGGUCGUCUCGCCCGUGCUCAUCUUGGAUCUGAUCAGUGGUGACGAUGAUCUGGAGGCGCAGGAGGACGUGGCCCUGGAGCACCUGCCCGAGAGCGUGCUCCAGGAUGUCAUUCGCAUCUCCCGCUGGCUGGUGGAAUAUGGCCGCAACCAAGAUUUCAUGAACGUCUACUACCAGAUACGGUCCAGCCAGCUGGACCGCUCCAUCAAAGGACUGAAGGAGCAUUUCCAUAAGAGCAGUUCUUCCUCUGGGGUUCCCUACUCCCCUGCUAUCCCCAACAAGAGGAAAGACACACCUACUAAGAAGCCAGUCAAGCGGCCAGGUGAGCCCCCAUCCUGGCCCAUCUCUGCAACAGCCAGAGGCUGACUGGGACUGCACUGCUUUAGUCCAAUCUAGCGUUUGCAGCAUCAGACCCCUCCAGAGCUUGUCAUCAUGGUAACCCCAACUGUAGGUACACAGGACAGAAAGCAAGUGUCUACCCACCCAGUGAGGCCCCCCCCAGAGCAAGACUCUUCCUUCCAGCUAGCAGAGCCUGGGGGUUACACAGCUUCUUUGGAGUGGGGGAGUAACACAGGUGCUCAGUGAACCCCGCCUGAGGCAGAACCCCUGCCUAGGCCUCCUGCCUCACACACACAUCGCCCUGUCAGAAGGCCAGGCACACUGCUGCAGCCAGGAUGCUGGGAUAGCAAGGGGAUAGGUGCUCCAACCUUCACCUUCCAGAAAGGCAGGGUGACCUGAAGUGACAUGUAGCUGAGAGCUGGAUGGGGAGAAUUUCACUUUCCCAGUUGAUCUAGAAAGGAAAGAAACCCCAGAGCAUCCUCUCAGAAGAACUUAAACUGGCUUUGGGCUCCAGUGCGAGUGAGUGACUUGUGGAAAGGGGCACCAUGAUGAGAGGCCAGGGCCGGUGGGUGUCGCUGUCCUGGGUGAACAUCUUGUCAUCUGUCUGUUCUUUCUCCCCGGCAUCAUGUCCCUUAUAGUCUGUGCUCCAGGUAAACAGUGUCUCUGCCAGCCACAGCUUGGCAAGCCCGGCUGUGUCUGGCCACCGAGAGAUGCUGCCCGCAGCUCGAUGAUGUGCUGGGAUGUUCCGGGGUGGGGCUGCUGAGAUUGCUCUGAAAGAGAAAGCUGGAGAAGCCGGGGCUGCUCCCACCCAGGCUGGCCCCCUGUCCAGCUGCUGCUGUGGGCACAUGCCCUAGUUGUGGCCUGUGGCGCCUGAUUAUGACAACAAGCUUUGGGUAGAGCUUACUUACACCCUUGGUUUCUCCAGUCCCUGCCUGCCCGUGCGCCUCAGAGAGUGAGGUGUCUGCUCCACAAGAGUACCCGCUCCCCUGCAGGCCUUUGUUGAGGGUUUGGAGAUACAGGCAGAGCAGGGGCUGCCCUCAGGGAGUAGAGCAUUAGGGAGCUGGUGCCUGGGGCCUUCUCCCUCCAGUGUGGAAAUCCUGCCCACCAGCCAAAACCUGCUGCAAAUGGGGACUGCCAGCCCAGCCUGUGGGCGCAGCUGCCUGCACAGCGGAUGGAGCAGCUUUGUGCCUUCUGUGUGGUGGGGAGUGGCUGUCUCUAUGAGGCUGCGAGGAUGCUUGGGCCCCAGCCAGUCUGUGCUUGCUUCCUCUUCUGCCUGGUUCCCUGACAGGUCCCCCAGAAGCCCCAGAGCCCUAUUUGCACUGCCCUAAGAGUGCCCGCUGGCCAUGCAGCCACCUGGCCUUUCAGGCAGGAGGGAUCUGAUCUCAGGUAGCUCACAGUGGACCACAUCAUCCAUCCUUGGGCCAGAGACACAAGAGGAAAACUCCAGCUGUGGGGUUUCAGAGUUGUCAGGAACUGGUGGGCUCAGGACCGAUGUCAGGCUCUAGGGAGUCAGGCUCUGGGGAUGUCGGUUCCCACUUCUGAGGAGAGGGACAGGGAGGCCUCCCAGGUGGUGAAGCACCGACCUCAGCAUCCCUGGAGGUAAUUGGGAGCCUGACGGGUUUGGCGGCUGCUAGAUCCGCAUCUGCGACCCACAUCCUGCCGGCGUGCACCUGCGUCUGUGUCUGCUCCUGGUGGGUUGUGGGGCAGGAAUCAGAUUCACUCAUUAGUGAGCUGCACUCGCUGAAGGGGAGAGCGUGAGCAAGGCAGAUGUGAGCCAGGCCUUGGUUAUUAGGAGCUAAUUAUGGGCCAAGUGUGGCGGCUCACACUUGUAAUCCUAGCACUUCGGGAGGCUGAGUCAGGCAGAUCACCUGAGGUCAGGAGUUUGAGACCAGCCUGGCCAACAUGGUGAAACCCUGUCUCUACUAAAAAUAGAAAAAAAAUUAGUUGGGUGUGGUGACGUACCCUAUAAUCCCAGCUACCUGGGAGGCUGAGGCAGGAGAAUGGCUUGAACCCAGGAGGCAGAGGUUGCAGUGAGCCUAGGUCGUGCCACUGUACUCCAGCCUGGGCGACAGAGCGAGACUGUCUC